rnacentral:lncRNA from 7 species
GGCACAGCUAGCAACGUCCCAGGCGAGCCAAGAGCAGCGGAUUACGUGCGCGACCUUUCCCCGGAAAUCCCAGCGCGAGCUCCGUCCUAUUGGUCUCGGCGGCCAUGUGAUUCGCACCGCUGUUGUAUACAGGAGAAGAUGAUCCUGCCGGAGCUUGACGGGGAGGGGCUUGGGUGGCGAGCACACGGAAUAGCCAGAGUAAUCGAGCAGCAGAUAUCUCGGCGGGUGGUUGCAAUGACUGCAAAGAUCGCUGGGAUCUUCAACGAACUGGAAACAAAGAGCCUGUAUAUGCGACUCCACCUAUGAACGAAACCAGGCACGAAUAGG